AUGGUCAUGGGCCUGUGUUUACAGGGCCUUGGGGUCAUGCCUUGCAACUGGUAGGAGUUGCCAAAUGCCUCAGGCAAUGAGUGUCCUGACAGACCUGCAUACUGAAGGCUGCCCUGGCUGCUGUGGGAGAAUGGAGUGAGAAGAUGGAGGUUCGAGGCAGGGAGGCCAUUGAGGAGGCUGCCACAACAUGCAGGCAAGAGGUGAGAAAGGGAUUUACAUGAAGCCGCAACCUGCCUUUCCUAUUUCCCUGCCUUGGUGAUGCUGUCAGCUCUCGCGGAGUAAAAGCCCAUCCUCCCUGUCUCCGCAUGUCUGAAUCCUGCCUAGCCUUUAAAGUCCGGCUAAAGGCCGCCUCCUCCAGGAAGCCCUGGCCUAUCAUCUGAUUGCUUGAUUGUAUGUCCUCUGAGUGCAUACCGCCUCCCACCUGGCCUGUGCUGCUCAUCACCACCUUGCACGGAGAUCGUCGGUGUCAGAGCAGGGAUUACCCUGUGUGUUAAUCUGCACUGUGGGCUUCAGCCUGCUUGUUGGCAGUGGUUCCCCACCCUGGAUGCACGUGUGAGUCAUCUGAAGAGCUUAAAAAAAUCCUGGUGCCUCAGUUACACCCUAGGCAAAACCACAUCAGAAUCAGGCCUUCGCAGGUUUUAAAGCAGUGCCUCUGAAAUUUUCGUAUGUGUGCACGCCCCCUGAGGAUCGUGUUAAAAUGCAGAUUCUGAUCCAAUAGCUUGGCACCGAUUUUGCAUUUCUAAAAAGCUCCCAGGUGAUGUGAACGUUCCAUGGACCACACUUUGAAGAGCGAGGUGUUAAAGUACCCCAGGUGAUUCCAGCGUGCAGCCAGCACCCAUCCACCCCCACACCACCCCAUCCAGGUGAACAGCACCUCUGCGCUGUAGAGUGAAAUGGUGGAUUUGAGUCUUGGCUCCGCGGGUUCCUCACUAGACCUUGGCAGGUCACAUGAUCUCUGCGAUGGGAGAUUGUGAGGAUCAGAGGAGGCCUUGGCCAUCUGCCUUGCUUUCUUGGUUGGAACCAACGCAGUGAACACCUUUACCACGCCUUGCAAGCCCAGGCUGCUGUUGCUGCCACCAUCACCACCACCAAGGACCUAAGAGCCCCCACAUACAGCACAGACCUUCGAAGAGACAGACCCUACUCCUGUACACUAGUUGGGCUGCACAGGCCCUGGCUUCCCAGUGCUGCCUAGAGGGCCAGGGGACACCACCAGGACUGUUGGUCAGCAGAUGCUCUGGCCAUGACAAAUGAGGGAUCUGAAGGAGCCACAAGUCUGCUGCUCCCCCUUCUUUCCCUACAAUGGGCUGUGUUAUGCCACACUGGAAGUGCCGAGAUGCUGAGCAAAGAGCAGUACGCGUGGUGAAGACAGGCUGGCUUGCUCGGCAUCUGUGCUCCCUUCCAGCUUCACUUUUGCUUCUGGGAUUGCACCCCACUCCCAAAGCAUUCAAGAGGCUUUUGCCUCAGGCUCUGUUUUCUAGGGAACACGGAAGAAGACAUUUCCCUCUUGGGUUGUAGUAACCUUGCGAACAGGAGCCCGUCCUUUCCUUUAUUCUCCCUGUGAAGUUAUAUAUCUCUGUUCAAUGCCUUUUUAAAGUUGUAGGGCAGAUAAAAUUGCAUUUAUAUAAAAUUAUAAGCAGCAGAAAAAGGACUGGGAGAAGAUAUGCCACAAUAUUAAUAGUGGUAUUGUUAAGGUGAUGGCAGGCUGAGUGAUUCUUUUCCUUAUUUUAUAAAUGUUCUUCAUGUUAUUGUAUUUAUGAUGAAAAAUACCUUAUCAACAUAUAUGAAAAAAUAUUCGAGGUCUUUUUUUUCUGGCUCAAAAAGUAGCCAACAUAUGGUAAAAUAAAUGGGUGUUUAGGAAGCAUGAAAAUGAAGCCCCAAAGAAAGGAAGCAAGAAGUCAGAGUGCUUUGGAGGAAAGAAAUCUCUGUAUUAGAUAAACAUUCCUCCACGCCAGGGUAGAAGGAAAGGUCCUCCCAGAUGGUAAAAAUAUGCUCAACUUGCCCCUGCAAGUGUUAUAGCUUGAAAAGCUGAAGUGGAAGACGUGCUCGAGUAGCCAGAACUUUUAGGACAAAUUCUAACAGCGGGGGCUUUUGGACAGGACUUCAAUUUAUAUUGAAUUUACACUGAUUCCACCAAAAGGAAAUGUGUAAGCAAGUUGGGGUAAGAACAGGGUAAGUCUAGCUGAGGGCAGUUAAAGACAAGAGAAAAAGAUCCUGAAGCCCGUUUUUAAAACCCCUGCAUUCAUUGUGACCUUCAGGGGAGCCCAGGAGAUGGGAACAGUGGGGGAACCAACCAGAGAAUCACAGCGUUGCCAAGGGCUCCCACUGCCAGGUCGAUGAGCCCAUCCUCAUUGAGGUCCAAUUGCCCGUGGAUGCUGCAGCCAAAAUACUGGAGGCCGGUAGCCAGCUCUGAGGCUGUGAUUCUCUGCAGGGAGCAGGAAGAGAGGGGGAGGGCAUGCACACCGUGAGUGUGGGGGCGGGCGGCCCUGAGCUCCAGGAACAAUUGGGAGCCUGUUUGAAAUCACGAAGAAGCUUCCCCAACCCAAAGCAAUCUCCUCUCCUGGCCUGUCAUGGCACCUGAAAUUCCUACCAUUCAAGUCAUUCUUUUGGAUUAAAAUAUUGUGUCUUAAAA